rnacentral:sRNA from 1 species
GCCUUCUAAAUACCAUUACAAAGCCAGCUGCGGUGGAAGAAGAGACUUCCGCGGGCUACAUCAUCUCAUUUCCAUAUUGUCCCAGUUGUGGGGACGCCCGUUGGGAAAGCUGAACCCACUGCUAAAGCAACAGGCACCCUAACUUGGGAGCAAAGUCCAAGGCCCUGAGCCAGGCUGCAGUGAGAAGCAGCUAUUGCCUGGUCCAAAGUCUUCUCAGGGUUGUGCUGGAUUCUGCUGAUUCCUAAAACAGGGAGCUCAGGGGUUCAGAGACACCUACCUGCUAGGGACUAGUUGGGGAGAGGCUGCAAGGUGUGAGAUUCCCAAUGUUCUCAAUGCCCUAGAGGCAGGCUAGCCACAGGAAUUUGGCGGAGCCUGGGUUGGUCUAUUGUGGGGGAGGGUCCUAGACCACUUUUCUAGAAAUGUGGAAACUGCAGAAUUGUGUACAGCCAGCCUGGGGAGUUUGUGGUUCUCAAGCUUUUGGGUGAACAAGGUGCCAUCACAGCCCCAGGAGCUGGAAGAAGCUGUACCGGGAUGACAGCGACAGUCAUCUGGCAGUCUCUGAGGCCCAGCCAGAGCCCCAGGCGGCCUAGGAUGUCUCCUCACUAAGUAGCGUUCCUUGACCACUCCCACAGGAGGCGGGGCUAGCGGAGAAAGGGCAGGAAAGUGUUGGCCAGUGCACAAGACUUCUGCACACCUGAGAACCCUCUACAACUGAGCCACCUGGAAGUCGGUGGCAGGUCCCCAUGAGUUAAGAGGUCAGAAGUCGCUGACACCUCUAGGCUUCUGCCUCUCUCUGGCCUAUUCCUGAGCUGUCCUGGGGUCUCUGUACCCUUCUAGAAGGAGUUUAGCAGGGUCUGAUGAAGUUCUACAAUGGCCUGCAACUUACUGUGUAACUGAGGAAGACUUUGAACUUCCAUUCCUCCUGACUGGAUGUCCAAAGUUCUGGGCUUACAAGCGUGACACACCAUACCCAGCUACAGUAUUUUUCCUUAGGACUUAUUGCUCUGAUGGCUUUGCAAAUUGCAUACAGUCUGGCAGUCACCUCCACAAACAAGACACAGAAGAAUCUCAUCGUACUCUGUCACCUCCUCUCCCAAAGGCCUCUGGUAACCACUGGUAUGUUUUCUGGUGCUGGAGUAUUAUGGGAUAUCAACCAGAGAAGGUUGCUUGAACAUGGGGUUGAGCCAAUCAAAAGUCUUUAUUAGCCACUGGGUCUUCGGGAACCAGGGGUCACAACCAAGCCAUUCUCGGGGUGAGCUUUUUAACACAAAAGCCAUAUUCUGGGUUGACAUAUUUCACUUAGCAAGAACAGCUAGCCAGAAGUCGAAUUAUCGAAGACAAAAGGCAAGGUUAGUACGUUCAGAGACUUUCCCAGAACUCUGGACUUCGAUGGAUUAGGUCUUUGUUUUCACUGUGGCCAGCUGAGCUGUCUACGUGACUUCCAUUAUGGAGUCAGUCAUGCUAAGGUCUGGGGGUCUAUUAAGGCCUGGGACUCUGUUAAAGAAGGAGGCCAAAGAGGAUACUGAACCUUCUGGAACUGGAGUUCAAAUGGUUGUAAGCCCCCAUAUGAGUUGAACCCAGGUCCUUUGGAAGAACAGCCAGUGCAUGCUUUUAACCGCUGAGCCAUCUCUCCAGCUCUUUCAUGGUUCUCUUCCUCCAGUGCUCUCUUUGUAGCUGUGUCACACACGUAGAAUCACGGUGUGUGGCCCUGAGUCUGGCUACUUUCACCAGCUGACAUUCAUCCAUUACCAGGAGAUCUCAGCUCAGUUCUUUCUUUUUUUUUGGU